rnacentral:rRNA from 1 species
UACGGAGGGUGCAAGCGUUAUCCGGAUUCACUGGGUUUAAAGGGUGCGUAGGUGGGCAAGUAAGUCAGUGGUGAAAUCUCCGGGCUUAACCCGGAAACUGCCAUUGAUACUAUUUGUCUUGAAUACUGUGGAGGUAAGCGGAAUAUGUCAUGUAGCGGUGAAAUGCUUAGAUAUGACAUAGAACACCAAUUGCGAAGGCAGCUUACUACACAGUUAUUGACACUGAGGCACGAAAGCGUGGGGAUCAAACAGG